UGGGGAAUUUUGGACAAUGGGCGCAAGCCUGAUCCAGCCAUGCCGCGUGGGUGAAGAAGGCCUUCGGGUUGUAAAGCCCUUUCGGCCGGGAAGAAAACGUGCGGGCGAACAGUCUGCAUGGAUGACGGUACCGGAAGAAGAAGCACCGGCUAACUACGUGCCAGCAGCCGCGGUAAUACGUAGGGUGCGAGCGUUAAUCGGAAUUAUUGGGCGUAAAGCGUGCGCAGGCGGCGCCAUAAGACAGCUGUGAAAUCCCCGGGCUUAACCGGGGAACUGCGGUUGNGACUGUGGUGCUAGAGUACGGCAGAGGGAGGUGGAAUUCCUGGUGUAGCAGUGAAAUGCGUAGAGAUCAGGAGGAACACCGAUGGCGAAGGCAGCCUCCUGGGCUGAUACUGACGCUCAUGCACGAAAGCGUGGGGAGCAAACA
rnacentral:rRNA from 1 species